UAUGGGGUUUCAUUGGAUUCUAUGGGGUUUAUGGGGUUUUAUGGGGUUCCAUAGGGUUCUAUGGGGUUUAUGGAGUUCUAUACAGUUUUAUGGGGUUCUAUGGGGUUUAUGGAGUUCUAUGGGAUUCUUCUAUGGGUUACGGGGUCAGGGGGUAUUGGGAUCUGUGGGAGUCAUAGGGGGUAUUGGGGUUUGUGGAGUGAUAGGGGGACGCUAUGGGGCCAUAUGGGGCCAUGGAGCCAUAUAGGGCCAUAUAGGGCUCUAUGGAGGCGCUGUGAGGCCAUAUGGACACAUGGGGUCAUAUAGGGCCAUACGGGGACUCUAUAGGGCUACAUCAGGCCAGGUGGGGCCAUAUAGGACCAUAUAGGGACGCUAUGGGGCCGUAUGGGGCCAUGGAGCCAUAUAGGGCCAUACGGGGACGCUAUGGGGACAUAUGGGGCCAUAUAGGGCCAUAUGGGGACUCUUGAGGGCUGGUGGGGCCAUAUAGGGUCAUAUGGGGCCAUGGAGCCAUAUAGGGCCAUAUAGGGCUAUAUUGGGAUGCUAUGAGGCCAUACGGGGCCAUCUAGGGCCAUACGGGGCCAUGGAGCCAUAUAGGGCCAUAUAGGGCUAUAUGGGGACGCUGUGAGGCCAUACGGACACAUGGGGCCAUCUAGGGCCAUACGGGGACGCUAUGGGGACAUACGGGGCCAUAUAGGGCCAUACGAGGACACUAUAGGGUUACAUCAGGCCAGGUGGGGUCAUAUAGGAUCAUAUGGGGCCAUAGAGCCAUAUAGGGCCAUAUAGGGCUCUAUGGGGACGCUAUGAGGCCAUAGGGACACAUGGGGCCAUAUAGGGCCAUACGGGGACGCUAUGGGGCUGUAUGGGGUCGGGACGCACCACGAUGGCCUCGCUGGCCCCGGAGGACAGGAAGAUGUUUUGGGGACAGGCAGGGAAUCCAUCGCGGCGCUGCAGGAACUGCGCCACGUCCUCCCGCACCGCGUCCAGCCCCGCGCUGCUGCUCAAUCUCCUCGCUCUCGCUUUGGCGUCUUCUGGGAAAUCGCCGUUCAGGAGCUCGGGGUAAACGCACAGAGCGGCCACCUGGCCGGGGGGGGUCAAAGGUCACGCGGGGGGUCAAAGGUCACACGGGGUCGACGUGGAGUCACGUGGGGUCACGUGAGGUUCCGUGGGGUCGUGGGGGCACUUCAACCCCCCCCCCACAAUGCCCCCCAAAUGGGACGGCGGCCCCACCUGAGGGUCGUAUGGGGGUCACGUGGGGGUCAAAGGUCAAACGGGGUCACACGGGGUCACGUGGGGUCACAUGGGGUCAUAGGGGGGUCACAAGGGGUCACAGGGACACCCCACCCCCUUCAUCGGGGAAUAGGGACAGUGAGGCCACCUGGGGGUCACACGGGGGUCAAAGGUCAUAUGGGGUCACACGGGGUCACGUGGGGUCAUGCGGGGUCACAACGGGUCACAUGGGGACGCCCCACCCUCCACCCCAUGAGCUCAGGGGACGGGGACAGCGAGGCCACCUGGGGGUCACAUAGGGGUCACGUGAGGGGCAAAGGUCACACACGGGGUCAAAGGUCAAAGGUCACGCGGUCACCUGGCGCAGGAAGGUGAUGGGUUUCUGCCCCAUGGCCUGAGCAUCCCCAAGGUUGGCCCGGAUGACCUCUGUGAAGGGGUGGGGGACGCCCUGGGGGGGACAGAGAGGGGUCAUGUGGGGUCACGGGGUCACGGAGGGGUCACAGGGUCAUGUAGGGUCACAGGGUCACAUGGGGGCACGGGGUCAUAUAGAGUUUAUGGGGUUAUGGGGUCAUGGAGGGGUGAUGGAGUCACAUAGGGGUCAUGGGGUUAUGGGGUCAUAUAAGGGUCAUGGGGUCAUGGAGGGGUCAUGGGGUCAUAUAGGGGUCACGGGUCACAUAGAGGUCAUGGGGUCAUAUGGGAGUGAUGGGGUCACACAGGGGUCAUGGGGUUAUGGGGAAAUGGAGGGGUCACGGGGUCAUGGAGGGGUCAUGGGGUCAUAUGGGUCACGGGGUCAUAUGGGGUCACGGGGUCAUAUGGGGUUAUGGGUUAUGGAGGGGUCAUGGGGUCAUGGAGGGGUCAUGGGAUCAUACAGGGGUCACGGAUCACAUAGGGGUCAUGGGGUCAUGGAGGUGUCAUGGGGUCAUAUAGGGGUCACGGGGUCACAAAGGGUUCAUGGGGUCAUAUGGGAGUGAUGGGGUCACACAGGGGUCAUGGGCUUAUGGGGUCAUAUAAGGGUCAUGGGGUCAUGGAGGGGUCAUGGGGUCAUAUAGGGGUCACGGGUCACAUAGGGGUCAUGGGGUUAUGGGGUCGUAUAGGGGUCAUGGGGUCAUAUGGGGUCACGGGGUCAUAUGGGGUCACAGGGUCAUAUGGGGUCAUAGGGUCAUAUAGGGGUGAUGGGGUCACAUAGGGGUUAUGGGGUCGUAUAGGGGUCAUGGGGUCAUGUGGGGUCACAGGCUCAUAUAGGGGUCACAGGGUCACAUAGGGGUCAUAGGGUCAUAUAGGGGUGAUGGGGUCACAUAGGGGUUAUGGGGUCGUAUAGGGGUCAUGGGGUCAUGUGGGGUCACAGGCUCAUAUAGGGGUCACAGGGUCACAUAGG
ensembl:lncRNA